ACAAUCACAGGGACGGUGAAGCCAGCCGAGGGAAAUCAAACGGGAAGGAGGGAUGCUGUCAGUCAUAAUAUCAGAUGCGUCCGUCCUCCACCCUCGCCACCUCCGAUCAGCAGCAACGUCACGCUCCUCAUCACAGGAUUGCAGCCACUUCCCUCACCACCACCACCAGCGUCUGGACCACAAGGUGGAAUACAGCCUCGUCUGACCUAAACAUCUCUACCCCUGGACUGUCCUAUUGCUGGAUGGAGUCCAAUCUCCAAAGACUUUGCACAAAUUAUAUUUAUGCAUGUUUCAUAUAUUUGUGCUGAUUGAAUUGCCUUUCUAUAAGAAUCUCAAACAAAAAAAUAAAUAUUACAAGAUUACAGU
ensembl:lncRNA